UACGGAGGGGGCUAGCGUUGUUCGGAAUUACUGGGCGUAAAGCGCACGUAGGCGGCUUUGCAAGUUAGAGGUGAAAGCCCAGGGCUUAACCCUGGAAUUGCCUUUAAAACUGCAUCGCUAGAAUUGUGGAGAGGUAAGUGGAAUUCCGUGUGUAGAGGUGAAAUUCGUAGAUAUUCGGAAGAACACCAGUGGCGAAGGCGACUCACUGGACACGUAUUGACGCUGAGGUGCGAAAGCGUGGGGAGCAAACAGG
rnacentral:rRNA from 1 species